GUGCCAGCAGCCGCGGUAAUACGAGUUGUGCAAACGUUAUUCGGAAUCACUGGGCUUAAAGGGUGCGUAGGCGGCUACGAAAGUCAGGUGUGAAAUCCCUCGGCUCAACCGAGGAACUGCGCUUGAAACUGUGUAGCUUGAGGGAGACAGAGGUGAGCGGAACUGAUGGUGGAGCGGUGAAAUGCGUUGAUAUCAUCAGGAACACCGGUGGCGAAAGCGGCUCACUGGGUCUUAUCUGACGCUGAGGCACGAAAGCCAGGGGAGCAAACGGGAUUAGAAACCCUUGUAGUCC
rnacentral:rRNA from 1 species